rnacentral:ncRNA from 1 species
AUUCGCGGGAGAGACUUUUAUAGCGCCGAAGGAGCAACCGCCCUCGGAAACUCUCAGGCAAAAGGACCGCAA